AUUGAACGCUGGCGGCAGGCCUAACACAUGCAAGUCGAGCGGAUGAGAGGAGCUUGCUCCUGGAUUCAGCGGCGGACGGGUGAGUAAUGCCUAGGAAUCUGCCUGGUAGUGGGGGACAACGUUUCGAAAGGAACGCUAAUACCGCAUACGUCCUACGGGAGAAAGCAGGGGACCUUCGGGCCUUGCGCUAUCAGAUGAGC
rnacentral:rRNA from 1 species